GAUGAACGCUGGCGGCGUGCCUAAUACAUGCAAGUCGAGCGAACGGACGAGAAGCUUGCUUCUCUGAUGUUAGCGGCGGACGGGUGAGUAACACGUGGAUAACCUACCUAUAAGACUGGGAUAACUUCGGGAAACCGGAGCUAAUACCGGAUAAUAUUUUGAACCGCAUGGUUCAAAAGUGAAAGACGGUCUUGCUGUCACUUAUAGAUGGAUCCGCGCUGCAUUAGCUAGUUGGUAAGGUAACGGCUUACCAAGGCAACGAGGCAUAGCCGACCUGAGAGGGUGAUCGCCCACACUGGAACUGAGACACGGUCCAGACUCCUACGGGAGGCAGCAGUAGGGAAUCUUCCGCAAUGGGCGAAAGCCUGACGGAGCAACGCCGCGUGAGUGAUGAAGGUCUUCGGAUCGUAAAACUCUGUUAUUAGGGAAGAACAUAUGUGUAAGUAACUGUGCACAUCUUGACGGUACCUAAUCAGAAAGCCACGGCUAACUACGUG
rnacentral:rRNA from 1 species